rnacentral:rRNA from 1 species
UAUAACGGUCCUAAGGUAGCGAAAUUCCUUGUCGGGUAAGUUCCGACCUGCACGAAUGGCGUAAUGAUGGCCAGGCUGUCUCCACCCGAGACUCAGUGAAAUUGAACUCGCUGUGAAGAUGCAGUGUACCCGCGGCAAGACGGAAAGACCCCGUGAACCUUUACUAUAGCUUGACACUGAACAUUGAGCCUUGAUGUGUAGGAUAGGUGGGAGGCUUUGAAGUGUGGACGCCAGUCUGCAUGGAGCCGACCUUGAAAUACCACCCUUUAAUGUUUGAUGUUCUAACGUGGACCCGUAAUCCGGGUUGCGGACAGUGUCUGGUGGGUAGUUUGACUGGGGCGGUCUCCUCCUAAAGAGUAACGGAGGAGCACGAAGGUUGGCUAAUCCUGGUCGGACAUCAGGAGGUUAGUGCAAUGGCAUAAGCCAGCUUGACUGCGAGCGUGACGGCGCGAGCAGGUGCGAAAGCAGGUCAUAGUGAUCCGGUGGUUCUGAAUGGAAGGGCCAUCGCUCAACGGAUAAAAGGUACUCCGGGGAUAACAGGCUGAUACCGCCCAAGAGUUCAUAUCGACGGCGGUGUUUGGCACCUCGAUGUCGGCUCAUCACAUCCUGGGGCUGAAGUAGGUCCCAAGGGUAUGGCUGUUCGCCAUUUAAAGUGGUACGCGAGCUGGGUUUAGAACGUCGUGAGACAGUUCGGUCCCUAUCUGCCGUGGGCGCUGGAGAACUGAGGGGGGCUGCUCCUAGUACGAGAGGACCGGAGUGGACGCAUCACUGGUGUUCGGGUUGUCAUGCCAAUGGCACUGCCCGGUAGCUAAAUGCGGAAGAGAUAAGUGCUGAAAGCAUCUAAGCACGAAACUUGCCCCGA